rnacentral:rRNA from 1 species
AGUGAACGCUGGCGGUAUGCCUAAUACAUGCAAGUCGAACGACAGCACAGUAAGCUCUUGCCCCUACGGUUGGCGAGGGGCGGACGAGUGAGGAAUACAUAGCAAUCUACUUUUACGUGGGGGAUUACGGAGAGAAACUUAUGCUAAUAGCUCAUAUGAUGUACCGCAUAAAUCAAUAGUUAUUCACACCUUUGCUGUCACAUAGAGAUGAAUCCGCGUCGCAUUAGCUAGUUGGUAAGGUAACGGCCUACCAAGGCAACGAUGCGUAGCUGACCUGAGAGGAUGAUCAGCCACACUGGAACUGAGACACGGUCCAGACUCCUACGGGAGGCAGCAGUAGGGAAUCUUGCACAAUGGGCGAAAGCUUGAUGCAGCAACGCCGCGUGAGUGAUGAAGGUCUUCGGAUUGUAAAGCCCUUUUAUUAGGGAAGAACAACUGUAGAUGUAUCCAUCCCCGUUCUGACGGUACCCAAUCAGAAAGCACCGGCUAACUUCGUG